rnacentral:rRNA from 1 species
UAUACGACCGUACCGCAAACCGACACUGGUGCGCGAGAUGAGUAUUCUAAGGCGCUUGAGAGAACUCAGGAGAAGGAACUCGGCAAAUUGACACCGUAACUUCGGAAGAAGGUGUGCCCUAUUAGUGUGUAGUGAACAACGAAGCAUGAAUGGGUUGCAAAAAAUCGGUGGCUGCGACUGUUUAUUAAAAACACAGCACUCUGCAAACACGAAAGUGGACGUAUAGGGUGUGACGCCUGCCCGGUGCUGGAAGAUUAAAUGAUGGGGUGCAAGCUCUUGAUUGAAGUCCCAGUAAACGGCGGCCGUAACGAUAACGGUCCUAAGGUAGCGAAAUUCCUUGUCGGGUAGGUUCCGACCUGCACGAAUGGCGUAACGAUGGCCACACUGUCUCCUCCUGAGACUCAGCGAAGUUGAAAUGUUUGUGAUGAUGCAAUCUCCCCGCGGAAAGACGGAAAGACCCCACGAACCUUUACUGUAGCUUUGUAUUGGACUUUGAACAGAUCUGUGUAGGAUAGGUGGGAGGCUUUGAAGCAGGGUCGCUAGAUCUUGUGGAGCCAACGUUGAAAUACCACCCUGGUGUGUUUGAGGUUCUAACCUAGGUCCAUUAUCUGGAUCGGGGACAGUGCAUGGUAGGCAGUUUGACUGGGGCGGUCUCCUCCCAAAGCGUAACGGAGGAGUUCGAAGGUACGCUAGUUACGGUCGGACAUCGUGACGAUAGUGCAAUGGCAUAAGCGUGCUUAACUGCGAGACUGACAAGUCGAGCAGAUGCGAAAGCAGGACAUAGUGAUCCGGUGGUUCUGUAUGGAAGGGCCAUCGCUCAACGGAUAAAAGGUACUCUGGGGAUAACAGGCUGAUACCGCCCAAGAGUUCAUAUCGACGGCGGUGUUUGGCACCUCGAUGUCGGCUCAUCUCAUCCUGGGGCUGUAGCCGGUCCCAAGGGUAUGGCUGUUCGCCAUUUAAAGAGGUACGUGAGCUGGGUUUAAAACGUCGUGAGACAGUUUGGUCCCUAUCUUCCGUGGGCGCUGCAGAUUUGAGGAAGCCUGCUCCUAGUACGAGAGGACCGGAGUGGACACACCUCUGGUGUAUCGGUUGUCACGCCAGUGGCAUUGCCGAGUAGCUAAGUGUGGAAGAGAUAACCGCUGAAAGCAUCUAAGCGGGAAACUCGUUUCAAGAUGAGAUCUGCCGGGGCCUUGAGCCCCCUAAAGAGUCGUUCAAGACCAGGACGUUGAUAGGUCAGGUGUGGAAGCGAAAAA